UACAAGAUCUAAGAGCUGUAGGAAUAAGACUUAAGUCAAGCAAGACACGAAGGCCAAGAGACAUAGAUUUCUCCGAAGGAUUGUUCGCUGCAGAACUGACUCUUCCUGAGAUCGUUGUGGACGACACUUCAGCCGCUACUUUCCUCAACCUGAUAGCAUAUGAGAUGUGUCCAGAUUUUGACAACGACUACGGGAUUUGUUCUUUUGCAGCUUUCAUGGACUCGCUUAUCGACAAUCCUGAAGAUGUCAAGUUACUAAGAUCAAAAGGGAUUUUGCUCAAUUCCCUUGGGAGUGAUGAGGAAGUUGCUGAACUUUUCAAUAUCAUAAGUACUGACUUGGUACCUAACUCAGAAACAUAUUUUGAAGUUAGAGCCAAAAUACAUGAUCAUUAUUGUAAUAGAUGCAAUACAUGGAUAGCAGAGGGUUUUCACACUUACUUCAGCAAUCCUUGGGCCAUUAUUGCAUUCAUUGCUGCGUUUACUGCCCUUGUUCUUACUUUCAUUCAAACAUGGUUUACGGUUAACCCGGCUAGCAAAUAAAGGUGGUUCGUUAUGGCAAUGUUGCUUUCAUACAAUUAAAAAUUCGUAACAAAAAUAGGUCGAGUAUGUGUUGGUAUUGCACCGUGCAUAAUAAUUGUCUUCUGGUAAGGCAAGUAGUGUACUUUACUUCUCUGUGGAUUGUUUUGAAUUUUUGCGUUAAGUUGGUGUGUCCCUUCAUGAGUCUUGACUAUGAGUAUCUCAGAAAUAAAGAGUGCCUUUUCUGUGUUGUUUGUUUGAAUUGAAACAUGAAUUUUCAUAUUUCUACUAUAUUGUUGAGAUUAUGUUGAUUUUGUUUAGAUGAGUUAUUUAAUAUUUUGCUCAUCGACAUUGCAAUAAGUGAAUAGACCAAAUGAGCUAAUAAGACAAGUAUAUUAUAGAGUAUUACUAGACAUGGCAACACAUGAAGUAUUGGUUACAAAAUAACGUAACAACGAAUAAGUGUGGUCCAUAAAAAACGAAUAUACGUACAGUUAGUGCCAUCUUUCUCAUUUCCUGUAUGUAGUUGAUUGUUUUGUUUAUUUGCUUAUAUGUACUCUAGCAGUGCAUGUAGAUAGUAAAACCGGUGGGAAGAUUUCUCUUAGAAAAACAUGAACCUGAAUCUAUUGAGAAUAAACUAGAAUUGAUUAGAUGUAGUCAAAUUCAAGAUUAGUAAAAGCAAAGAUCAUUUUACUUUUCUUGUCCAUUGAGUAAAGUGAUGGACAUAUGAAGAGGACAGGUAUAAAAAUCGAUUAAAGUUGAAGUGUAAGAUUAUUUUAAGCAAGCAUAUUUAGUUAUCUUGUUCAUUAGGUAAAGGUUUGAGAGCAUGAAAAACUAAAGCACUAUAUUGAAUUUGAGCCCAUAUUAUAUAAUACACAUUUUGAUUUACAUUUUCGUUAAGUUUGAAAGAUCAAUAUCUCUCAACCAUAUGAUGGCAUCCCAAACUAUUAAUGAAAAAUUUGUGGAGUUACAAAAAUCAAAGCAAACACCCCAAAAUUCACGACCGAAAAUACAAAGGGUGGCAGAGUAUCUCAGAAAUAGAAAAAACUUUGAGAAGCAUUACUCGCCCAAGUUGUUGUCGGUAGGUCCUAUCCAUCAUGACAACACAAAUUUGAAGUUAGGAGAGAAGUACAAGCUUAUGUGGGCAGCAAAAUACAUCGAAAACACUGGACACAUUCCAGAGGAUCUGCACAAAAAGAUUGCAGAUAACAUUGAUGAACUGAAGGGUCAUUUUGGCGACGAUGUUUUAACUUUAACUGGCAAGUCUCUUGAAGGCUUUGGAAGCCUCGAAGAAAAGCUGUCGUGGAUGUUGUUCGUGGAUGGAUGUUCUUUGUUGUAUAUCUUAGAGAAAGCCAAGCUUGAUGAACCUGGGCACAUGAAUAUUAAAGUUGAUCAACUGGUUCUUGUGAUGAUGGAUGUGCUUCUGUUGGAGAAUCAACUUCCUUACGUAGUACUCAAGCUAUUGUGGAAAGAUAACGAUAGUGAAUUGAUAAAAAGCAUGAUGACUUUCCUCGACUGUCAUCAUUGGGCCACACCAGAUGAGUCACAGCCAGAUAAGGAGAAGGACAUGGUUCCAAAAGGAAAGGGAGAAGGAGAACAUAGUGUAUCAAUAACAAAUGAGUCCCAGUUAGAGACACCCACUCAUCUUCUUGAUCUUCAGCGUAAAAUCAUCCUCACUACAUCUAAUUCCAAGGUACAAUAGAAAUAACAAAAAAAUAAGUACUAGAAAAAAUUGAAAUAACAACAGAAAUUACAAACAAACAAAACUAUUAGGUUACUAAAUUUAAGGGCAGAAUAAGAAACAGAGUUUGUUUCAUCAGUAUAUUUCAACUAUUUUUAUUAGUUUUAUGUCUAUCUACCAUUAUCAUAAUUACAAAGGGGAGGACAGUAAUCAGAGGGGUGUACAUAAUAGUAAUUAGAGGAUUAAACUAAAAUAAAAUAAUUAAUACUGUAUAGAAAAGAUAAAAUAACACCCUUUUCUUGACUUUUGAUAUUUUUGAGGGGGAAAUAACACUUUUUUUAAAUAUUUUUCCUUUGCUCAAAUGUGAUUAUUAUUGCUGCACAUAGAAAGUUAAGAUUUGAAUAUUUUUUAUUAUCAUGAGUAAGAUGAUCCAAUUCAUUUCUGAUUAAAACAUAGACUAAAAGCAAUGAAGCUAACAACAAUAAAUGGAGUCAGAAGAAUUCAGAUGAAAAUGUCAAGAAGAAUUCAAAGGAAGAUGUCAAGAUGAUGACAUACAGGAGCAUACAAGAUCUAAGAGCAGUCGGAAUAAGACUUAAGUCAAGUGCGACACGGAGGCCAACAGACGUAGAUUUCUCUGCAGGAUGGUUCGCUGCGAAACUGACUCUUCCUGAGAUCGUUGUGGACGACACUUCAGCCGCAACUUUCCUCAACCUGAUAGCAUAUGAGAUGUGUCCAGAUUUUGAGAACGACUACGGAAUUUGUUCGUUUGCAGCUUUCAUGGACUCACUCAUUGACCGUCCUGAAGAUGUGAAGGAAUUGAGAUCAAAAGGGAUUUUGCUCAAUUCCCUUGGGAGUG
rnacentral:lncRNA from 1 species